ensembl:lncRNA
UCUUGCCCAACUGACACCUUCAUGUGCCAUUUCAAUAUUCCCAUACAUAAUACUACAGACGAUGAAAACGUGCAUACGUCAUGCCAAAGCAUCGCUGUAUGAACUUGUUUACUAUUUAGCAACACACUGACGGGGCAGAUCUCUUGCAGCUAUUCCCCUUCUGAUGAUACAACUGAAAACUCCAGUGUGAAUGGAAAUACACUGCAGUUCAUGUCGAGGAGAAUAGCAAUUUCCACCAUUGUUUUUUCUGUUCUGAAUAUUCAUUAAGCUUUGCUUAAUCAUCUGCUUGGCUAUUUAGCAGCAACAUUUUCAAUAACUAUUUAAUUUAAUGAUCAAUUUCUUUUAAAAAAAUGAACACUUUAAUUACACACAGUUGCUGGAGGGCCUGCCAACCAUCAGCUGAGUUUUAAAGCAGCAGCAGAAAGAGUACUGGAUGCAAGAGGAGCCUUGGCAAUUUCUGUCACUGAGAGGAUCACUCCAAAACCAGCAUGACGCAGAGUAGUCAGAGAGGGAUGGAUGUCACUACAUUUAAUUCUAGCACAGUUUUUAGCACACCACAGAAAGGCUCUGCAGACUGCAGCAUCAGGACCAGCUUUCAUGCUCAGGAUCCAGCUGGAAUUCCAUCUACAUUUCAGUGAAAUAUCUCUGAUUUCAAUGGAGACCAUCCUGAUAAAUGCCAACGUAUACAGACACAGAAGCAAAUCUUCCCUGCAAUCACCCGGGGCAUCCAAAACCAAGAGGCGUCUUGGCAGGAUACACGACCGGCCUGAUUGUGUCCAUUUUCAGGAAGGAAUACAUAUGUAUAGCGCUGCGAUCCAGCUCAGCCUCUAUGGGAUUCAGCUCUGCUUGAUGAGCAAUCAGCCUGCUGCAGGAACAAACACAUGAUGACUGCUUUCAGCUGCUAAUGCCACUGCUUUUUCUGGAGCAAUAGAGAGACCUAAACUGCAAAUUCGCAUCUGGCCUUGUUGGAAAUUAGCUGGGAAUCGAAAGGGUUUGCAAUUAGCUUUUGGAAGGAUCCACGCUAAUUCACAAUCACAGGACAGGACACCAGAGCCCGCAGUGACAUUUCGGGGGGAUCUGGUGGUGUGCCUGUAAUAGGGUGCUUGGUGUAUUUAUUUUAGCGAAAGGCUAUCUUCUUCUGUUUGGCUUCAGAUGCAAGGCUAUGAAAGGACUCAGGAACAGAGAUAUUCCAAACAUAUGCUGAUAUUCAUUUCCACAGCAAAAUGUGAUUUGGUUGCAGUUUCCCACUGUGUGCACUCAUUUGCCAUAAAUGUCACCAGGAUUAAGAUUUGCCAUGGUUAUUUUUCUUUUCUAUUUUCAAUGAAAAUUGUCAUUGAUAUUUGAACACUCGUUUGAUUCUUGAAGUUUUAUAAUUUCUUAUUUUGCUAAAACACCUAAACAUGUUUAAGAUUUAAAGUUUUCUUAAAGUCACUUAUUAGAACUUCUUAAGGGGAUCUUUACUUUUAAGUGUUAAAACCACAAUGAAUUAGUUUUUACCCAGUUCAUCUACACAUCUUUCCUGGGCAUAAUCUCCAACACCUGAGAAGUUGAGCCAAAUUUUAGUGGUGGUCAGGUGAGAAUAAAAGUACAACAUCUCCCUACUUUUCGAGCA